rnacentral:rRNA from 1 species
GACGAACGCUGGCGGCGUGCUUAAUACAUGCAAGUCGAACGGAGUGGCGAACGGGUGCGUCACACGUGGGUGACCUGCCCUGCACUUCGGGAUAAGCCUGGGAAACUGGGUCUAAUACCGGAUAGUGUGGGAUGGGCCCGCGGCCUGUCAGCUUGUGGGGGGGGUAAUGGCCUACCAAGGCGGCGACGGGUAGCCGGCCUGUGAGGGUGGACGGCCACAUGGGGACGGGGACACGGCCCAGACGCCUACGGGAGGCAGCAGUGGGGAAGAUUGCGCAAUGGGCGGAAGCGUGAUGCAGCGACGCCGCGGGGGGGAGGACGGCCUUCGGGUUGUAAACGCCUUUCACCAUCGACGCGGUAGAUGGAGAAGAAGCACCGGCUAACUACGUGCCAGCAGCCGCGGUAAUUC